GAUGAAGAACGCAGCGAAAUGCGAUAAGUAAUGUGAAUUGCAGAAUUCAGUGAAUCAUCGAAUCUUUGAACGCACAUUGCGCCCCUUGGUAUUCCGAGGGGCAUGCCUGUUCGAGCGUCAUUUCAACCCUCAAGCACAGCUUGGUCUUGGGCUUCGCCGCUAACCCGGCGGGUCUUAAAAUCAGUGGCGGUGCCGUCGGGCCCUGAGCGCAGUAAUUUCUCUCGCUAUAGGGUCCCGGCGGAUGCUGGCCAGUAACCACCAAUUUUCUAUGGUUGACCUCGGAUCAGGUAGGGAUACCCGCUGAACUUAAGCAUAUCAAUAAGCGGAGGA
rnacentral:misc_RNA from 1 species